AGCGAACGUUUGCGGCGGGCUUAACACAUGCAAGUCGAACGGGCUGUUCCUUCGGGGGCAGUCAGUGGCGCACGGGUGCGUAACACGUAGGUAAUCAACCCUCUGGUUGGGGAUAACACUUCGAAAGGAGUGCUAAUACCCGGUAUGGCGCAGCGGUCUUCGGAUCGCGGCGAGAAAGACCCGCAAGGGUUGCCAGAGGACGAGCCUGCGGCCCAUCAGCUUGUUGGUGAGGUAAUGGCUCACCAAGGCUAAGACGGGUAGCUGGUCUGAGAGGAUGAUCAGUCACACUGGAACUGAGACACGGUCCAGACUCCUACGGGAGGCAGCAGUGGGGAAUAUUGCGCAAUGGGCGAAAGCCUGACGCAGCCACGCCGCGUGAGCGAUGAAGGCC
rnacentral:rRNA from 1 species